rnacentral:rRNA from 1 species
GAUGAACGCUGGCGGCGUGCCUAAUACAUGCAAGUCGAGCGAACAGACGAGGAGCUUGCUCCUAUGACGUUAGCGGCGGACGAGUGGGUAACAAGUGGCUCACCUACCUUUAAUACUGGGAAAACUUCGGGGAACAGGAGCGAAUAUCGGCGAAUAUCUCGAACGGGAUGGUUCAAUGGUGAUAGGGCGGUUGAUUGGCACUUAGAGAUGCAUCCGGGCCGCAUUGGCUAGGUGGUAGGGUAACGGCCUAGCAAGGCGACGAUGCGUAGCCGACCGGAGAGGGUGAUCGGCCACACUGGAGCUGAGCCACGCUCCCGGGUCCUACGGGAGGCAGCAGUAGGGAACGUGCCGCAGUGGGCGAGAGCAUGACGGAGCAACGCCGCGUCAGUGAUGAAGAUCUUCGGAUCGUAAAACUCUGUUUCGAGUGAAGAACAACUGUGUGAGGAACUAUGCCCGUCUUGACGGUACCUAAUGAAGAAGCCCCGGCUAACUACGUG